rnacentral:snoRNA from 1 species
AGGUCAUUUCAAAGACAGCUGUGGGGCCAAAGCCAGUAGCUCUCAAUGCUGUGACCUAAGAUUGAUCUGGAAUGUAAUAGACACUCAAUUGUGCUAUGCUUUCCCGAGGAGAUAUAAGA